GUUAAGUUUCUCUCUCUUCUCCCUCUCUCUCGUCUCUCCCCGCUAUAGCCUUGUACCUUGUCUACGUCGUCUACGGGCAUCGCGUCUACAAGCAUCGUCGUCUACGGCGUCUACCUUGUCCGCCGUCGCCUUCGAUCGUCAUCGUCGUCUACCUCGUUGUUUACCAGAAUCGUCGUCUACGAUCGUCAUCGGCGAACAUAUCUACCUCGUCAGAGUCAACGUCGGCGUCAUUGUCAUCGUCGUGGUCGCCAUCAAAACCUAAUGUCAGUCUCUGCUCUACCUUUACCCUCUCUGUAAUGUCUUCUCCGUAGAGAAUUGGGGAUUUUUGUUUGAUUGCAAACCCUAAUCUCACUCACGGCUAGACUGUUGGGAGUUACGUUUAUUUAGUGGCUAGCUAUUGGAGAAGAUGGUACUUUUCCUAAGCAUUAUGAAUAUUUUGAUUGCAUCUCUGAGACACCGACACACUCGUCUCCACCGCCGCCAUUGAAACUCCAAUCUGUCUUCGGCGAAGAAAACUCCGUCGGCCACUAUGCAGAGAAUGUCCUCACUAACGUGCACGAAACUAACCUUGUGCACUGUAUCAGCAAUCCUCCUACAAGUCAUCGGUCUCUCACUCUUUGUUCUAGGGUUUUUCCCCGUCAAACCCACUCUCUCCGGUUUCAGUGGCCCGGAGAGCUUUCAACCACCUGGGUGUGAUUCAGUUGAAGAUCCGAAUGUGUCGAAUCUGCAUCCUGAUCAGCUCAAGUCCUUGUACCAGGAGCUAUAUGAGAUCCCCCCUUCAUUUGACCGAUUAGUCUUGAUGGUUAUUGAUGGUCUUCCAGCAGAGUUUGUGCUUGGAAGGGAUGACCGACCUCCUUCCAUGGUUAUGAAGGAAGUAAUGCCAUAUACGCAGUCGUUGCUGGCUAGUGGAAUGGCAUUUGGGUACCAUGCGAGGGCUGCUCCUCCAACUGUUACGAUGCCCCGAUUGAAGCAGGCUAUGGUGUCGGGGGCAAUUGGUGGAUUCUUGGAUGUGGCUUUCAAUUUCAACACACAAGCUCUUUUGGAUGACAAUCUUAUACGUCAAUUCUUUAAUAUUGGUUGGCAAAUGGUGAUGCUUGGUGAUGAAACAUGGCUCAAGUUGUUUCCAGGAUUAUUCACAAGGCACGAUGGAGUUAGUAGUUUCUAUGUUAAGGAUACUGUACAAGUGGAUUAUAAUGUUUCUCGGCACUUGGGUGAUGAGCUUAACAGGACUGACUGGAAUCUUCUGAUUCUUCAUUAUCUUGGUUUGGAUCAUGUUGGGCAUAAUGGGGGACGCAGUAGUGUGUUUAUGGACUCAAAAGUUAAGGAGAUGGAUGAAGUGAUCAAGAUGAUCCACUUGAGCACUAAACAGUUUCAAGACAAUGAUCAAGGGCGGACGCUUCUGAUGGUGGCUAGUGAUCAUGGCAUGACUGAAAAUGGUAAUCAUGGGGGGUCUUCAUAUGAGGAGACUGACUCCUUGGUGCUUCUUGUUGGUCUGAAACCUAAAGCCUCUGAUUAUCCGUUAGUAACCCGUAGCAUGAUUCACCAGGUUGAUAUUGCUCCUACACUAGCCCUUCUUUUUGGUGUGCCUAUUCCAAAGAACAAUGUUGGAAUGAUGAUUGCAGAAGCUUUUGAUUCUUUGACAGAUGACCAACAACUGAGAAUAUUAGAGUUGAAUUCGUGGCAGUUACUCAGAUUACUUCAAGUACAGAUACCUGGUUUAUCUUGUGGAAGUUUGUCAUGUGAUGUACUCAGCAAUGAUCAGUGGCCGGGGAUCACCGAAUGCAAUGGUAGCUAUGAGGAGAUGCUUUGUUGCUUGUUUGCAAAUGCUGUUGUUCUGCACAAAUCAUGGAAGUCUAAAAGAAUCUCUCGGUCUAAUAGUGGGGAUGAGUAUCACAUGACUGUUUUGGCAUAUGAUAAUUUUCUAGGCGCUGCAAGCAAGUGGUUAUCAGGAAGAGCGACUUAUAAACCUGCUGGAGUACUUAUUGCUGGAGUUGCUGCAAUGGUCUUCUCAUGCUUGGUAUUCAUAGGGCUUCUUUUUCGGCUGGACCAAGAAGUUUACCCCUGCAAAGUUCGUCAUCUUUCUGACGUGAAGGACAUUGUGCUUAAGUGCCAUUUUGAUGAGACUUAUGUUUUGGCUAUCAUCUUCAUACUUGUUUUGAGUAUGGGAUCUAGUUCUAUGGUUGAGGAAGAGCAAUAUAUAUGGCAUUUCUUAACAUCCACAUUUUAUUUGGUUUUACUCCGCAAAGCAGUUCAGUCCCUUAUAGCAAGAACCAGACAAAAUUUGUUUUCCUUGAUUAAAGAACAAAACAGAAGCAGCUAUAUUCAAGUAUCUUCUAUUAUUCUUAUUCUCAUUACUGGGAGGAUUAUGAGAGGAUGGCAUCAGGGUGGUGUUAACUGGGCUCAUCUUCCGGACAUUUCAAAGUGGCUUGAGCAAGCAGGAAGAUGUUAUGUAAAAUCUAUUCAGCUGGUUUCAUGGGUUCUCAUAAUGAGCUUAGGCGUAUAUUCUCUUUUUUCAUUGCAGUCAAAGAAAUAUUCUGCUAUGGUUAUUGGACUCACAUUUCUAGUCCCAGGGGCGUUGGUUAUGCAACAUAUCAUAGAAUACCAGGAUACUUCAUUUGCAGCAUCGAGUUCUGGUUCUAACUCAACGGUGCAAAUAAUUUAUACACUUCUAGGGGUUUCCACACUAGGGACUUUUUUUGGCGUACCUUGGCUAAUGCCAGUUCCAAGCCCCAAGAUCUUAUCGGUCCAUACUGGUAGCUUGUCAAGUAAUUUUCUUGCUGAUCUCAGAAUGAAGUUUUUAGUUGUGGGAUUUAGAGAUUCUAUAUAUGUCAUUGGUUGGGCAUACAUACAUUAUUGGUGCCUUCUACAGCUGUUGCUACAACAACCUACAAAUUCAAUGCCUGUAUUAUUUCUCCUUGUGCAAAUUCUGGCCAGUAUGUAUUAUUGUUCUAAAGGUGGGAUAUAUCUCAAGCAGUGGGUUGAGGUUGCUGGACUAUACUAUUUGGGACUGGCGGGGCAUUUUGCUCUUGGUAACACCAAUACCCUUGCUACUAUUGAUGUUGCUGGAGCUUUCAUUGGCAUUUCAAGCCACUCCACAUUGCUUUCUGGCAUCUUAAUGUUCAUAAUCACUUAUGCAUCUCCCAUGCUAGCGCUUCUUAGCAUGGUGAUGUAUAUGGCCAUAAAGGAGACAUGUGCUCCUGUGAAUGCACAGGAUGUAGAUAUUGGGCAUUUUCUGAAGAUGACUGUGAGCUUUCCUUGUCUGGUUCCACUGGGUUUGAAUUCCGCUAUUCUGGUUGCAUACACCAUUGUUUUGCUGCUAAUGAGGAAUCAUUUAUUUGUAUGGAGUGUCUUCUCUCCAAAGUAUCUGUAUGUCUGUGCCACAACUGCUUGCGUAUAUAUAGGAGUAUCUGUUCUGUCUCUAACUGCAAUCUAUACAUCUUUUGUGUUUGCCUUUCGGAGUGGAUACAUUGCAGUGCUACAUCAGAGAUGAAUCAAUUGUGUCCACGGUGUUCCAAAAGCACCUUCAAUUCUUCCAGACAAGUACAUGUCAACUAUUUGUUUCAGGCUUUUUUGGCCCAGAGAAAGUCUUGUAGGAAUCAAUAUGGAGAAGUGCAAAGAAAUGACUAUCGGUUGUAGGUAUGGGAAAUAAAGGAGCAAAUAAUAUAAGAAAUUGGCAAGUCCAGCAGAGCUCUGGCUUGAAAAUAUGAUAAAGCGUUUGGAACUGCUGCAGAAAAUAUGGCAUAGCUCCGUCUUAAAAUGGAAGGAUUUUCUAUAAUUUUUGGGAAAACAUGGGCAGUACUCCAGCAGGAACUGAGAGAUCGGUUGGAAAUGCUGGCUGUAAUAAGGCAGAACUCCGGCAGGAAUGGGAGAUUGCCUGAAAACGUCGGUUGAAACAGGCCAGAUCUCCAAUUGGAACUGGGAGGUAGCUCAGAAAUGUCGGCGGAACUCAGAGAAACGCUCUCUCUCUCCAUGGCCUAAUCCCUUUUCAGCAUCUACGCUAUUGCGGCGGCCCGCCAUCUGUUACAAACACAGCCAGCAAUUCCAUCAGUGCCGAAAGUAACCGUACCUCUUCUGCCGGCAAUGCCAAUUGUGCCUAAAGCCACCUUGCUGCCACUGCCACCCACCCUCUGCCGACACUCCCAAAAGCCCUACCAACCUUGCCAACACCGACUCCGCUGCCCAGCACUCAAAUCCCAACCUUGUCAACCAUGCCCAAAGCCCCAAGGGUGACACUUCCCCCUGCUCCCAAACACAGCCAGCAAUUCCAUCAGUGCCGAAAGUAACCGUCCCUCUUCUGCCGGCAAUGCCAAUUGUGCCUAAAGCCACCUUGCCGCCACUGCCACCCACCCCUCUGCCGACACUCCCAAAAGCCCUACCAACCUUGCCAACACCGACUCCGCUGCCCAGCACUCAAAUCCCAACCUUGUCAACCAUGCCCAAAGCCCCAAGGGUGACACUUCCCCCUGCUUCCAGCCACUUCACCUCCCAAUAUUCCCACCACAAUCGCUUCGAUUCCAACUAUUCCCACGACAAAGCCGACCAUCCCUUUCCUCUCCACACCCAUCAACAAGCAGCCCUCGAGAGACAUCAUGACCAUUUUCAUGGUUUACGUUGUCAGUAUGAGGCUAUGAGCUGACAAUAUCAUGGGGUGUUCAUGAAAUGUGUUCGGAGUUUUGGUUUGCUUGUUUAGCAUUUGAGGAGGCUUGAGCGCAUUAUCAUAUUUUUUGUAAUCUGGAUUUCUGAAGUGUUAUGGUCCAUGUGUGCGGUAGCUAUUUUAUUUUUUGAGUUGUUAGUCCUGUUGGUCUAUAUUGGUAUAAAUCAUUUUGGGUAUUAAGUUUAUCAGAUUCUCUU